AUCUGCCAGGAACUAAGAUUGCUGUUUGCCAUGAUAUUAUUCUUUUUAACAUUAAGUAGCAAGCCAGCUUUUGCACUCAAUUCUUUUACCCUCAUCAACAGGUCCUUUAGUUCUUGCUCACUUUCAACCAUCAGAGUAGUAUCAUCCGUGUAUCUGAGGUUGUUGAUAUUUCUUCCAGCAAUAUUGAUUCCAGCUUUGGAUUCAUCAGUUGAAUAAGGUGACAAUAUACAAUCUUGUCACACUCCUUUCCUGAUCUUGAACCAUUCUGUUGUCCCAUGUUCGGUUCUGACUGUGGCUUCUUGGUCCACAUACAGAUUCCUCAGGAGGCGGAUGAGAUGAUCUGGUACUCCCAUCUCUUUAAGAACUUGCCACAUGUUGUUGUGAUCCACACAGUCAAAGGCUUUAGAAUAGUCUAUGAAGCAGAAGUAGAUGUUUUUCUGGAACGCUCAGUCUUUCUCUAUUAUCCAUCGUACAUUGGCAAUUUGAUCUCUUGUGCCACGUCCUCUGCGGAACCCAGCUUGUACACCUGGUAAUUCCCGGUCCAUGUAUUGUUUGAAUUGAGCUUGUAGGAUCUUAAGCAUUACCUUGCUGGCAUGUGAAAUUAGUGCAAUUGUUCGAUAAUUGAAGCACUCUUUGGCAUUGCAUUUUUGGGGGAUUGUAAUGUAGACUGACCUUUUCCAGUUUUUUGGCCACUGUUGAGUUUUCCAAAUUUGUUGACAUAAGGCAAGAAGAAUUUUCACAGCAUCAUCUUGCAGAAUUUUGAAUAGUUCAAUUGGGAUUUCAUCAACUCCUGCAGCCUUGUUAUCUGCAAGGCAUCCUAGGGCCCAUCUCACUUCGCUCUCCAAGAUAACUGGUUACAUCUCAUUGGACCAACUAUUGAGGUCAUCACUGCUGUUAAGAUCCUUCCUGUAUAGAUCUUCAGUGUAUUCCUGCCAUCUCUUCUUUAGCUGAUCUUCUUCUGUUAAUUCCCUUCCAUUUUUGUCUUUUAUCACACCC